UACAGAGGGGGCAAGCGUUAUUCGGAAUUAUUGGGCGUAAAGGGCGCGUAGGCGGCUUGGCAAGUGGAUGGUGAAAUCCCUCGGCUUAACCGAGGAACUGCCGUCCAAACUGCUUCGCUUGAGACCGGGAGAGGUGAGUGGAAUUCCCAGUGUAGCGGUGAAAUGCGUAGAUAUUGGGAGGAACACCAGUGGCGAAGGCGUCUCACUGGACCGGUACUGACGCUGAUGCGCGAAAGCGUGGGGAGCAAACGGG
rnacentral:rRNA from 1 species